GCGACCCCAGGUCAGGCGGGGCUACCCGCUGA
rnacentral:rRNA from 1 species